GGGGGAGGGGCCGAGCCACCCGAGCCCGGUUGCUCGGGCGAGGCUGGAGGCGAGGCGGCUUCCGUGGCGGCGCGUGCCGGCUUCGCCUCUGCCCGGAGCUUCGCGGAGCGGCUCCCGCCCCUCGGGCAGCCUCGGGGGACCGUGGACGGCCUCUCGGGGACGCUGGCGCAGGGCCAGCUCUGGCGUCCGGAAGUGGCCGGUGUUCCCCGCGCCCGACCGGUGUUCUGGUUGCGCCGGGCGCUGCUCCUCCGUAUCCUUUAAUACGGGCCAGCCCUUUGUGUGGCUGCCCCUCGGGGCCUUCUCCUUAAGGUAUUUUUGGAGUUAAUGGAGUCAGAAGGACCUGUGGAGUCAGAGAGUUCGGAAAACUCAGCAUUUUUCUCACAGCAAGAAGAAGAUGUUGAAGAAGAAGACGACACCAAAGCACCGGAUGGAACAGGCACCGUCAAUCCCUUUGUACAGCUGGCUCUCACUGGGGAUGUAGAAGGCUUGCAGAAGAUUUUUGAGGACCGUGAGAACCUUCAUCAUGAGCAGGCCAUGCAGCUACUCUUAGAAGAAGACAUCAUUGGGAGAAAUUUGUUGUAUGCGGCUUGCAUGGCUGGGCAAAGUGAUGUGAUCAGAGCUUUGGCUAAAUAUGGUGUAAAUCUGAAUGAGAAAACCACUAGAGGUUAUACACUCUUGCACUGUGCUGCAGCCUGGGGUCGCUUGCAAAUUCUGAAGACACUCGUGGAAUUAGAUGUUGAUAUAGAAGCUCUGAACUUCCGGGAAGAAAGAGCUCGAGAUGUUGCUGCUCGGUAUUUCCAGAGUGAGUGUGUUGAAUUCCUGGACUGGGCAGAGGCAAGGCUGGCUCUGAAAAAAUAUAUUGCAAAGGCUUCUGCAGCUGUUACAGACACAGAAAGGACACCAGGGAAGCUCUUUAAGGAGGACAAGAAUAUCAUUCUCAAUGCAUGCCGUAUAAAAAACGAGUGGUUGGAAACCCAUGUGGAAGCUUCCGUUAAUGAGCUUUCUCAGCAGAAACAACAAUUAGAAGAUAUUGUAACUCCUAUCUUGACAAAAAUGGCUACACCUCAGCCUUCAUCUUGAUUUAAACUCUGAACCUGCUUAGCCUUUGAAGAAAAUAUCGCUGGUCUUGGCAGUUUGGAGAAGAACUUGAAUUGAGAGUGACGCUGUAAUGACAAGUUAGUCUGUGGCAGCAAGUGUCAGUAAGAGCUCACAUAUGAAUUCAUCGAGUUAGGACUGAAACAACAAUGUCAAAAACAAACUCUUCCUUUUGGGUGAAAAAAG